ensembl:lncRNA
AUGCAGUUGUUCUUUAUCUUGUUAGGCAGUUGCACAGUAAUCAUACAGGAUGUGCUUGUCUUUGGUCCAAACAUUCUUAUGUUUGUGGCCUUCGUCCUUUGGGGUGUGCUUAAUGGAUUUAUCAGUGUGGCUAUUACUUGUUCAACUAUUAAUCUUCUGAGGACUCUUUGGCUACUUCCAUUUUUUCGAUGCUUUAAUCAUUUUUAUGGCACAGUCAAAGAAACCCUUGCAAUAUCACUUAUCAUAGUGGACUGGGUUGUUUUGUCUGUAAUUGCUGCUGUAGGUAAGUACCUAUGAUUGUUACAUAUUAGCACCAGAUGACAUUUAUGAGUAUAUACAUACAUAAAC